rnacentral:lncRNA from 1 species
CCCAGGCUUAUAUAUUGAAUUAUAGAACACUACGGCCUUUGUCUUUGGUUAUUUUUCUUUCCAUCAGCUUCUUUUGGUGUCUUUAUCAUUUCUAUGACUGAGUCCUUUGCUUCCUCCUGAUAGCACGAUGUCCAGUUUUCAAGAAGAAAGAUGCAUCUAUUAUAAAUAUUGUUUACAAAAAGAGCUUUAAAUUGGAAGAUUCUUCAAUUUUUCUUUUUCCAUAUUGUGC